rnacentral:rRNA from 1 species
AUUGAACGCUGGCGGAAUGCUUUACACAUGCAAGUCGAACGGCAGCACGGACUUCGGUCUGGUGGCGAGUGGCGAACGGGUGAGUAAUGAAUCGGAACGUGCCCAGUCGUGGGGGAUAACGUAGUGAAAAUUACGCUAAUACCGCAUACGAUCUAUGGAUGAAAGCGGGGGAUCGCAAGACCUCGCGCGAUUGGAGCGGCCGAUAACAGAUUAGGUAGUUGGUGGGGUAAAGGCCCACCAAGCCAACGAUCUGUAGCUGGUCUGAGAGGACGACCAGCCACACUGGAACUGAGACACGGUCCAGACUCCUACGGGAGGCAGCAGUGGGGAAUUUUGGACAAUGGGCGGAAGCCUGAUCCAGCCAUUCCGCGUGCAGGAUGAAGGCCCUCGGGUUGUAAACUGCUUUUGUACAGAACGAAAAGGUUUCUACUAAUACUAGGAGCUCAUGACGGUACUGUAAGAAUAAGCACCGGCUAACUACGUGCCAGCCGCCGCGGUAA